rnacentral:rRNA from 1 species
CAAACUUGGUCAUUUAGAGGAAGUAAAAGUCGUAACAAGGUCUCCGUUGGUGAACCAGCGGAGGGAUCAUUACCGAGUUAUACAACUCAUCAACCCUGUGAACAUACCUAAAACGUUGCUUCGGCGGGAACAGACGGCCCUGUAACAACGGGCCGCCCCCGCCAGAGGACCCCUAACUCUGUUUUUAUAAUGUUUUUCUGAGUAAACAAGCAAAUAAAUUAAAACUUUCAACAACGGAUCUCUUGGCUCUGGCAUCGAUGAAGUACGCAGCGAAAUGCGAUAAGUAAUGUGAAUUGCAGAAUUCAGUGAAUCAUCGAAUCUUUGAACGCACAUUGCGCCCGCCAGUAUUCUGGCGGGCAUGCCUGUUCGAGCGUCAUUACAACCCUCAGGCCCCCGGGCCUGGCGUUGGGGAUCGGCGGAAGCCCCCUGUGGGCACACGCCGUCCCUCAAAUACAGUGGCGGUCCCGCCGCAGCUUCCAUUGCGUAGUAGCUAACACCUCGCAACUGGAGAGCGGCGCGGCCAUGCCGUAAAACACCCAACUUCUGAAUGUUGACCUCGAAUCAGGUAGGAAUACCCGCUGAACUUAAGCAUAUCAAUAAGCGGAGG